GAAAUCCUGUACUACGGAACCUGGGGUACAGUGUGUGAUGAUGACUGGGAUUUGGUUGAUGCUGAUGUGGUCUGCAGGCAGCUGGGCUGUGGAAAAGCCAUUGCUGCUCCUGGAAAUGCCUACUUUGGUCCUGGUUCAGGCUAUAUCCUCAUGGAUGAUGUAGCUUGCAGAGGAAAGGAAUCCUAUGUGUGGGAAUGCCCAAACAGUGGCUGGUUUUGGAGUAAUUGUGGACAUAAAAAAGAUGCUGGUGUUAUAUGUUCAGGAGUAACAGACUAGGACUGCACCACGCCAUUCACAGCAGUGUAACUGUCAAGAAUUCUGCAGUCAGAUAAAACAAGAAGGAUGAAGCAUUACAGAACGUUCUCUCAAAAUAUAUUUUAUAGCUGUACGUUGCAGUAGCAUGAUGCUGUAUGUGAUGAAACUGAAUGCAAUAUAUAAUAAAGCACAUCAUACCAAUCACUUCAACUGUUCAACAGUUUUUAAUUCACUUUAAAAUUCUUAAAUGGACAGCGAAACUAACUAGAGCACUUCAACACCGAGUAUGUUUUUAUAAAUAAAUACAUGUACAAUAAAGAUGUGUUAAACAAUGCACUGCCGAUACAGUCUUUAGUGAGUACUUAUGAAAAAGUACUAUAUU